GAUGAACGCUGGCGGCGUGCCUAACACAUGCAAGUCGAGCGAGAAAGUACAUAAGGAACCUUCGGGGAACGAUAGCGGCGUCGAGCGGCGGACGGGUGAGUAAUGCCUAGGAAAUUGCCCUGAUGUGGGGGAUAACCAUUGGAAACGAUGGCUAAUACCGCAUGAUGCCUACGGGCCAAAGAGGGGGACCUUCGGGCCUCUCGCGUCAGGAUAUGCCUAGGUGGGAUUAGCUAGUUGGUGAGGUAAGGGCUCACCAAGGCGACGAUCCCUAGCUGGUCUGAGAGGAUGAUCAGCCACACUGGAACUGAGACACGGUCCAGACUCCUACGGGAGGCAGCAGUGGGGAAUAUUGCACAAUGGGCGCAAGCCUGAUGCAGCCAUGCCGCGUGUGUGAAGAAGGCCUUCGGGUUGUAAAGCACUUUCAGUCGUGAGGAAGGUAGUGUAGUUAAUAGCUGCAUUAUUUGACGUUAGCGACAGAAGAAGCACCGGCUAACUCCGUGCCAGCCGCCGCGGUAAAAC
rnacentral:rRNA from 1 species